rnacentral:rRNA from 1 species
CGUAGGGUGCAAGCGUUAAUCGGAAUUACUGGGCGUAAAGCGUGCGCAGGCGGUUUUGUAAGUCUGUCGUGAAAUCCCCGGGCUCAACCUGGGAAUGGCGAUGGAGACUGCAAGGCUAGAGUUUGGCAGAGGGGGUAGAAUUCCACGUGUAGCAGUGAAAUGCGUAGAUAUGUGGAGGAACACCGAUGGCGAAGGCAGCCCCCUGGGUCAAGACUGACGCUCAUGCACGAAAGCGUGGGGAGCAAACAGGAUUAGAUACCCUGGUAGUCCACGCCCUAAACGAUGUCUACUAGUUGUCGGGUCUUAAUUGACUUGGUAACGCAGCUAACGCGUGAAGUAGACCGCCUGGGGAGUACGGUCGCAAGAUUA